UACGUAGGGAGCAAGCGUUGUCCGGAAUCAUUGGGCGUAAAGCGCGCGUAGGCGGCCCCGUAAGUCCGCUGUGAAAGUCAAAGGCUCAACCUUUGAAAGCCGGUGGAUACUGUGGGGCUAGAGUCCGGAAGAGGCGUGUGGAAUUCCUGGUGUAGCGGUGGAAUGCGCAGAUAUCAGGAGGAACACCAAUAGCGAAGGCAGCUCGCUGGGACGGUACUGACGCUAAGGCGCGAAAGCGUGGGGAGCGAACAGG
rnacentral:rRNA from 1 species